AAUUGCCUUUUUUUUUCUCCGAUCCCUCUCACGGCCCCCUCAACCCUUUUUCCUUUCCCUUUUCAAAUGUAUAAAUUUUAGGGUUAGGGUUUUUGAGGCGCUUCGCUGCACCAGAAUUGGAAAAAUUAUGGGGCAAGAAAUCGCUGUCGCCGUAGAAAGUUCCCAUAUUUCCCUCCCCUUAGCCUCCGUCUUCCCCCUUACCGAGUCGUUCAUGGCUUGAGCUUAGGUUCACUUUCCCAUUGCCGCUGUUCUGGUGCAGAGAUGCAUGCUGGUUCUGAACCUGGAACUACGGAGACGUACAUGAUGCCUGGUGUUGUUCUGAACCCCCAUGUAGCAUUUGUUCCACCUCCUGGUGGGGUUGAUUAUAUGGGUAAUGAAGUGGCACCAGAAUAUAUUUUUGAUCAGGGUCUAAACUAUCCAGCUGCCAACAAUUAUGGGUAUUAUUGUACAGGAUUUGAAUCGCCUGGUGAAUGGGGUGACCACCAUAGGAUUUUUGCAUUAGAUGGUCAAGAUCUCCAUUACUCGGGCAUGCAAACUGAAAGUUUGCCAUGUGUAUAUUAUACACCUAGCUAUGGAUAUGCACAGACACCAUACAACCAAUACAAUCCUUACAUACCUGGUGCGGUCGUAGGAGUUGAUGGCACAUUUAUAGGAAGCCAGCAGUAUUUCAGCAGUCAAUACCAGACUCCUGUUUCUUCACCUGCUUAUAUUCCAGUCGUUGUUCACCCUACUUCGGAUUUUGUGCCUCAUAGCUCUGCAGACCCUUUGUUAUUCAGCUCUGGUGCAUCAAUUGCUAGCAGAUCUGUUAAUGCAGGCACAAAAUCUGCUCCUCUGCAAGCAUCUCUCGGUGUAGCUGCCUCUUCUCAAACAGCUGCCGCAGGGAAUCCGCCGCCAGCAUAUGAGCCUUACCAGCCCUCACAGCGAAACCGAACCACAACAAAACCAUCAGAAGGGCCACAAGAUAAUAUGCCACAUAGUAAUCAGCCUUUAUUGCAGGACUCCGUGAUGCAUGGUAGUGCCAGUACUAUGAAUCAGGAUGGUAUUUCUUCAGGUUUGAUGCAAGCAACAGAUCGCUUCUCACAUGAAAUUACUUUUAUUCCUGGUCCCACAAAAGUUACUGCAUCAUCUAAUGAUGACUCCACGAACUUUGGAUCCCAUGUUCAUGGAUGGGCAUCAGUGGAUACAUAUAGACCAAGGUUCCAUUUUAAUGCAGUUGCAAACAAUGGUAGUGGAAGUCCAAAUGUAUUAGGUGAGCAAAAUAGGGGACCUAGGACAAACAGGUUGAAAGGUCGGUGGAUGACAGCUGGUUCCGAUGGAGCUGAACUGAGUAAAGGAAGUGCUAGUGUUGUAGAGGGAAACAUCAUCAUUAAUGCUGACCAGUAUAAUAGGGAUGACUUCCCAGUUGACUAUCCAGAUGCUAAGUUCUUUGUCAUCAAAUCUUAUAGUGAAGAUGAUGUGCACAAGAGCAUCAAGUAUAAUGUGUGGUCAAGCACUCCUAAUGGAAACAAGAGGUUGGAUAGUGCAUUUGAAGACGCACAGAGAAUAUCUGUAGGAAAUCCAAGAAAGUGUCCUGUCUUUCUCUUCUUUUCUGUUAAUGCAAGUGGCCAGUUUUGUGGUGUUGCUGAGAUGAUUGGACCUGUUGAUUUCAAGAAGGACAUGGAUUUCUGGCAGCAAGAUAAGUGGACUGGGAGCUUCCCUGUGAAAUGGCACAUCAUAAAGGAUGUGCCGAAUGCUAGCUUUCGUCACAUCAUACUCGAGAACAAUGAAAACAAGCCUGUAACAAACAGCAGAGAUACCCAGGAGAUACCAUAUAACUCAGGCAUGAAUAUGCUGAAUAUAUUCAAGAGUAGCCCUCUAAGGACAUCGAUACUUGAUGACUUCAUGUUUUAUGAGGAGCGACAGAAGGUGUUGCUUGAAGAAAAAUAUAGGCAUCUUGGGAGAAGCUUCAAUGGGUCUCCUUAUGUGCCUGCAUUUGUUCCUGCAAAUAAACCUGCUGGUACAACAGACCUCGUCCUGAAAGCAGGUGAAAAGCAAUCAGUUAUAGACCACUCUUCAAAAGUAGUUAGGGAAGAACCUGGCAGUGCAGCAGAUCAGCCUCCAACAGCUAAUGAGAGACAGACUGAUGUUAUAGUUGGUCAUCCUCCAAAUGCAGGUGGAAAACUGCAAGGUAUUGCAAUUGAUCAGCUUCCUAAAACAGAUGGAGAACAGUUGAGCGUUCCCAUCAAUCAACCUCCCAAAGCCAAUGGAAAAUGUGCAAGUGAUGUCUCCAAUCAACCUUCAGAGGCAGGCAGAGCUCCAGUUGCUCAACCUUCAAAAUCAGAUGAUAAGCAAUUGAAUAUUCCUUUUGAUCACCAUGCGAAAAUGGAUGGAAAACAAUUAAUGGGUGCAGUUGACCAGCCUUCAAAAGCUGAUAGAGAAAAACAAAGUUGGACAGUACAUCCGCUUCCUAAGGAAGAUGGAACAAGAAGAAAAGUUGAUCAGCUAUUGACACCAGAUGGCUCCACAAAGACCAAGGAUGCUAAGAGUUCAGGUAAGUUGGUCCUUAGUGGUGGACAGAUAACAAUAAAGCUGGAUUCCUCCAAAUCAUCUCAUGAUACCACCAAUGCGAAGCCUGAUGGGGCAGGAGAUGCUAAGGGUGCAAAUCCUAUAAUGAAGAUUGGGUCUCUCUCUAUUCACGCAAAGGGAGGUGAUUCGAAAAGCUCUGGGGUCAUGGCAGCAGAGGCCACUCCGACUGAUGUCGUCAAAGUUGGUUCGGUGCAAAUCAAGGUGAAGGGUUUUGGUGAAUCAUUCUCCGGGCCUACAAAUGCAGGGACCGUUCCUAGUCAAUCUGAAGGACUAAAACUUAACAAGCCGGGAUCAACUCCUGACAGUCAUCCACCAAAGAAAUGAAGUCGAGGUUUACAACAGCAAACUAAUUGCUUUUUUCUAUCUUUUGUAUUGUCUCAAUGGAUCUUUUAGUGGCAAUGCAAGUUGACCGUACUGAACUCUGUUAUCCAAGGUUAGUCCAACUUACAGUAGCUCGUUCUUUCUUCGUCGGUCCAAUUCAUCCCACCAAAUCUUAGAACUUUGGUGGAGUUAUUUGCUGUUUGUUUACUGCGUUUUCAGUUGCCCUGGUGGUUGGUGUUUUAGGAAAAUGGUAUCGGGGAUGGAGCAAUUGUUUUUCAGCUACUGCUGAAAUUUCGUUUUGGAAGCUCACAGGCACUUGAUGACCCUCUGUCGCUAACUUGCUAUUCUGAAGGAGAUUGGUGAGGUGGGCCCCUACAGAAUCUCAACUCUGUGGAUGUCCUAUGGAGUCAUGGAGGGAACAAAGUAUCCAAACCAAAAAUAUAAUUGGGAGUAAUGUGUUCGUAAUUAUUUCUCGUCUGUUGGGUUGGUGAUGGGUCAUAAUCAAACAUUUAUUCUGGACUUGGCGGUUGAUACUUGGGACAGACAUUCUAAAGAGUUGUGACUUAAGAGGAGGAAAUAAUGUUCCUUCUAUUUAAGUUGUAUGACGGGCUCGUUGUUGAGGAUUGACCAUGCUUACAUUCAUGAUCUAUGACUAGAUCUUCUUUUGGUUUUAA